AGAGUUUGAUCAUGGCUCAGGAUGAACGCUAGCGGCAGGCCUAAUACAUGCAAGUCGAACGGUAAACGCCCCGUUCGGGGGUGUGAGAGUGGCGCACGGGUGCGUAACGCGUAUGCAACCCACCCGCUGCCGGGGGAUAGCCCGGAGAAAUCCGAAUUAAUACCCCAUGAGGAGUAACCAAGGCAUCUUGGUUAUUUCAAAACUUCGGUGGCGGCGGACGGGCAUGCGUGCCAUUAGAUAGUUGGCGGGGUGACGGCCCACCAAGUCGACGAUGGCUAGGGGAUCUGAGAGGACGGUCCCCCACACUGGUACUGAGACACGGACCAGACUCCUACGGGAGGCAGCAGUAAGGGAUAUUGGUCAAUGGGGGGAACCCUGAACCAGCCCAUGCCGCGUGAGGGAAUAAGGCCCUACGGGUCGUAAACCUCUUUUGCCGGGGGAUAAGGACGCCUACGUGUAGGUGUUUGAAGGUACCCGGAGAAUAAGCAUCGGCUAACUCCGUGCCAGCCGCCGC
rnacentral:rRNA from 1 species